AAACACUUGUUAAAGUAAUUGCAAGUGUUAAUAAUCCUCGCAGGGAAAUAAGGAAUUAAGGAGUAGUAUUUUAUUUUUAAAUUAAAAAAUAAUUGUGCAUGAUUUUUGAGUCUCGAAUUGAGCCGAAGAAUUGUACUGGAUCAGUAGGGAUCCUAUCAAAUUGAAGUUAUUUUAAUAUUUUAGUUUGGUUCUAAUUCUUCAUUAAGAACUAAAUUAAAACUGUACUAAAAUUGAAUUAGAAUCGAAUUGGG
rnacentral:misc_RNA from 1 species